GGUCGCGUGGCCGAGCGGUUUAGGCAAGGGUCUGCAAAACCCUCUACCCCGGUUCGAUUCCGGGCGCGACCU
rnacentral:tRNA from 1 species